GAUUUUUUGGAUAGAAAAUGAAUUCAGACUCAACAAACUGUUCACUAGCAAUGAAUUAAGUCGUUGUAUUCUUCUCUUUCCUGGUGUGUGUACCAACAAGGAUUCAAAUUUGAACUCAAAAUUUUAUUUGUCAAGUCACUGAAUCUGUUAUUUGAGAUAAAUGUAAAACAAUCAUGUAUGUUAUCUAUCAUGUACUAAAUAUAUAAUUUGAGAUACACGUGCAACAGAC
rnacentral:lncRNA from 1 species